GGUGGGGGAUCUUCCUGGCUCUGUUAGUCUUCUCCAGACACAUCCUCGUAGACACACCAAAAGUUGCACAUCAUCAUUUUCCUAAUGUGAUGUCAGCUUGACCCAGAUUAGUCACCAAAGAAAAGAAAGCCUCGAAGGAGAAAAAGCCUCCAUAAAACACGGCGCUAAGGUUCCUGGCCUGCUGAGUUCCUGUCUUGAUUUCCCUUGAUGAAGAACUAUGAUAUGGAAACACUAGCUGAAUAAACUCCCCCCUCCACUUGCUUUGGCUAUGGUGUUUCAUCAUAGCAAUAGUAACCCUAACAAAGGCACCUUGUCAAUUUUGUCUUUUUGAUGUCCCUUCCACAUGGCAUGCU